rnacentral:lncRNA from 1 species
AUUUUUUUCUUAGAUUCGCAUUCCAGUUUUCCUGAUGGUGAACAAAUAGACCCUGAAAAUCUCCACUUCAACACCGAUGAAGGCAGUGGAAGACUGCUUGUUCUUGGAACCCAGCAGCCAUACUGUGAGGAAGUCCAAACCAGCCAGCCUGGGGAGACUGCAUGUACAGGGUCACACGGGUAUGAGCUGAGACCUCUGGCCCCAGCUAACAGCCACCAUCAGCUGCCUGACGUGUAAGUCACAGGGCUUCAGACAGCACCAGUCUUCAGCCUGAGGCUUCCAAUCCAUGGAACAGAAAUGGGGACUUGCUGUACCGGUCUGAAAUCCUGACCAAAAGAAACUAGAGUAUAAUAAAUGACUUUAUUAUGCCACU